rnacentral:rRNA from 1 species
UAGGGAAUCUUCCACAAUGGGCGCAAGCCUGAUGGAGCAACACCGCGUGAGUGAAGAAGGGUUUCGGCUCGUAAAGCUCUGUUGUUGGAGAAGAACGUACGUGAGAGUAACUGUUCACGUAGUGACGGUAUCCAACCAGAAAGUCACGGCUAACUACGUGCC